GCAGCAGGUCCCGCAAGGGAUGCUGGCGACCGGCAACCGGGUGCGGAACACGUACGCAACUUUCCUUCAAGUGGGGAAUAGCCCGGGGAAACCCGGAUUAAUACCCCGUAAUAUUAUGAAGUGGCAUCACUUUAUAAUUAUAGCUCCGGCGCUUGAAGAUGGGCGUGCGCCUGAUUAGGUAGUUGGCGGGGUAACGGCCCACCAAGCCUUCGAUCAGUAACUGGUGUGAGAGCACGACCAGUCACACGGGCACUGAGACACGGGCCCGACUCCUACGGGAGGCAGCAGUAAGGAAUAUUGGGCAAUGGACGCAAGUCUGACCCAGCCAUGCCGCGUGGAGGAUGAAGGUCCUCUGGAUUGUAAACUUCUUUUAUUUGGGAAGAAAUGCCAGUUUUCUAACUGGUUUGACGGUACCAGAUGAAUAAGCACCGGCUAACUCCGUGCCAGCAGCCGCGGUAAUACGGAGGGUGCAAGCGUUA
rnacentral:rRNA from 1 species